rnacentral:rRNA from 1 species
AUUGAACGCUGGCGGCAUGCCUUACACAUGCAAGUCGAACGCGAAAGCGGGGCAACCCGCAAGUAGAGUGGCGAACGGGUGAGUAAUGCAUCGGAACAUUUCCAGUAGCGGGGGAUAACCUGUCGAAAGAUAGGCUAAUACCGCAUACGCCCCACGGGGGAAAGCGGAGGACCGCAAGGCUUCGAACUAUUGGAGUGGCCGAUGCCGGAUUAGCUAGUUGGCGGGGUAAAAGCCCACCAAGGCUACGAGCCGUAGCUGGUCUGAGAGGACGAUCAGCCACACUGGAACUGAGACACGGUCCAGACUCCUACGGGAGGCAGCAGUGGGGAAUUUUGGACAAUGGGCGCAAGCCUGAUCCAGCCAUGCCGCGUGAGUGAAGAAGGCCUUCGGGUUGUAAAGCUCUUUCGGUGGGGACGAAAUGGUUCGUGCUAAUACCACGGACUGAUGACGGUACCCGAAGAAGAAGCACCGGCUAACUACGUGCCAGCAGCCGCGGUAA